UGGGGAAUAUUGGACAAUGGGCGCAAGCCUGAUCCAGCAAUGCCGCGUGUGUGAAGAAGGCCUGCGUGUUGUAAAGCACUUUCGGUUGGGAAGAAAAGACCAAAGAUAAUAUCUUUGGGACUUGACAUUACCUUCAUAAGAAGCACCGGCUAACUCCGUGCCAGCAGCCGCGGUAAUACGGAGGGUGCGAGCGUUAAUCGGAAUUACUGGGCGUAAAGCGCGCGUAUGUGGUUUGAUAAGUCGGAUGUGAAAGCCCCGAGCUUAACUUGGGAACGGCAUUCGAUACUGUCUGACUAGAGUAUGGUAGAGGAAAGCGGAAUUCCCGGUGUAGCGGUGAAAUGCGUAGAUAUAGGAAGGAACACCAGUGGCGAAGGCGACCACCUGGACUGAUACUGACACUGAGGUGCGAAAGCGUGGGGAGCAAACNGGAUUAGAUACCCACGUAGUCCCUGAGCGGGCUGGCAAGGCGCAU
rnacentral:rRNA from 1 species